CAUACCCCUGGGGUAAGCUUGUUGUUCACACUCAAGCUUCAGGAAAAGUGGAAACAACUGUGGACCCAGCUACUAGUUGGAGUCCUGGAUCUCAAGCGAAGUCUAAACAAUCCUAGGAGAAACUUUCAAGUGAUUGAUUCAGGACCACUGAAAAUCAUCUCCAUCCUAAUGGACUUAAAAUCAGUAGAUCAAGGAAUUCAAAUACAUUUACAAGAUCCAUUCACAGGAAGUUAAUCACCUAACCGGAGAUACAAGAAAAUACUAACAAAAACAAAAGAGAAAGCAUUAUGUUGAAGGAGACAAGCCAGAAAGAAAAACACCAACACCAAAUGAUCUUACUUAUAGGUGGAACUCAAGAAUGAACCCAAGACAUUCAACUUCCCGUGCCUUCUCAAGAAGAAAGUACGGGAAACUGAGUGUUCCUUAUUGCACCAACGCAAAGGAUUCUGUAGAAAACCGGAAAUGGACAGGAUGAAGAAGCAUUAGGGUCCUCUGCUACUGCUUAUCUUUGUUAUGAACACGGUUUCAAAUGUGACUUGGAAUCAAAUGAUUCUGCUUUCUUUUCAUUGCGCUUGGAAUUGCUUUUAAAUAUGUCCUAAAAUAUUGACAAGAAUCUUGAUAUUUCUUAGAGAUACGGCAAAGAUUAUGAUGUCAGUGACAUCACACAGAUCCAUAAAAAAUGUUCAGGAAG